rnacentral:rRNA from 1 species
AGUGAACGCUGGCGGUAGGCCUAACACAUGCAAGUCGAACGGCAGCACAGGAGAGCUUGCUCUCUGGGUGGCGAGUGGCGGACGGGUGAGGAAUACAUCGGAAUCUACUCUGUCGUGGGGGAUAACGUAGGGAAACUUACGCUAAUACCGCAUACGACCUACGGGUGAAAGCAGGGGACCUUCGGGCCUUGCGCGAUUGAAUGAGCCGAUGUCGGAUUAGCUAGUUGGCGGGGUAAAGGCCCACCAAGGCGACGAUCCGUAGCUGGUCUGGCAGGAUGUUAGGCCACACUGGAACUGAGACACGGUCCAGACUCCUACGGGAGGCAGCAGUGGGGAAUAUUGGACAAUGGGCGCAAGCCUGAUCCAGCCAUACCGCGUGGGGGAAGAAGGCCUUCGGGUUGUAAAGCCCUUUUGUUGGGAAAGAAAUCCAGCUGGCUAUACCCGGUUGGGAUGACGGUACCCAAAGAAUAAGCACCGGCUAACUUCGUGCCAGCCGCCGCGGUAA